UCAUUUUCCAAAUGGAGAGACGCAGGAGCCGAUAAGUAGGAGCAUGUAACUCCCAUGCUAAGCCUAUGUCACGGUAUUUUUACAGACUGGUCAAUUUUUAGUACACCUUUUCUUUUGAGAAAGGAAGGCAGUUUCUGUCCAGUGAUGCAGUGACGCCAAUUAGUUUCUUGUGAUUGGUCAUGGCACUCCCACGGGAGUUUCAUUCCAGCGAAAUUCGACCUAA